UCGAAGCCUACAAAGCGCGACCGCGAAUGAGUUUCAACUCGGGGACGGCAUUGGGAAGCUCCUGAGCGACCCACUGCUGCUUCCUCGCUUGGGAGGCGAGUGGCCUUGCGCUGCUUUCCUUCUGAGUCUAACGAACCCCGGCACGGCAAGUGCCAAGGAAUCCUAACGAUAGAACUUGUCCCUUCCGCCUGUUUUCGGGCGGCGAGGGGUAUGAGUCUGUUCAAAUAUAUCAUAACGACUCUCGGCAACGGAUAUCUCGGCUCUCGCAUCGAUGAAGAACGUAGCGAAAUGCGAUACUUGGUGUGAAUUGCAGAAUCCCGUGAAUCAUCGAGUCUUUGAACGCAAGUUGCGCCCGAAGCCUUUAGGUCAAGGGCACGUCUGCCUGGGCGUCAUGCACUGCGAUGCCCCCCAUCAAGUAUGGGGUGCGAAUCAUGGUUUCCCGUGAGCCAACUCGCGGAUGGCUUAAAAGUGAGCCUCGAGACGGUGAGACGUCGCGACAAGUGGUGGUUAGGGGCCUUGGCCUUCGAGCUUAGCAAGUCGCGUGAAUCGCCCCUCUCUUGCUCUAAAAACCUCGAGGGAGUGCUUUUGUGCUGCCAGCAUC
rnacentral:misc_RNA from 1 species